AGCGAACGCUGGCGGCAGGCCUAAAACAUGCAAGUCGAGCGCUCGUAGCAAUACGAGAGCGGCAGACGGGUGAGUAACACGUGGGAACGUACCCUUUGGUUCGGAACAACCCAGGGAAACUUGGGGCUAAUACCGGAUAAGUCCGCAAGGAGAAAGAUUUAUCGCCGAAGGAUCGGCCCCGCGUCUGAUUAGCUUGUUGGUGAGGUAACGGCUCACCAAGGCGACGAUCAGUAGCUGGCCUGAGAGGAUGAUCAGCCACACUGGGACUGAGACACGGCCCAGGACUCCUACGGGAGGCAGCAGUUAGGAAUCUUGGACAAU
rnacentral:rRNA from 1 species